GGGUGCGCAGGCGGACUGCAAGUAUCUCGUGAAAUACCACGGCUCAACCGUGGAAUUGCGGGGUAGACUGCAGGUCUUGAGCCCGGCAGGGGCCGUCGGAACUCUAGGUGGAGCGGUGAAAUGCGUAGAUAUCUAGAGGAACGCCAAAGGUGAAGACAGACGGCUGGGCCGGUGCUGACGCUCAGGCACGAAAGCGUGGGGAGCGAACGGGAUUAGAUACCCCGGUAGUCCACGCCCUAAACGAUGUGUACUAGGUCGAGGAGCUCUUGACGGGCAUCUCGGCCGAAGCCAAAGUGUUAAGUACACCGCCUGGGGAGUACGGUCGCAAGGCUAAAACUCAAAGGAGUUGACGGGGGCUCACACAAGCGGUGGAGCAUGUGGCUUAAUUCGAAGCAACGCGAAGAACCUUAUCCAGGGUUUGACAUGCACGGAUUAGUCAUCCGGAAGGAUGUACGACGCCUUUUAGGUGGAACGUGCACAGGUGCUGCAUGGCUGUCGUCAGCUCGUGCUGUGAAGUGUCGGGUUAAGUCCCUUAACGAGCGAAACCCCUGCCGUUAGUUGCUAACAGGUCAAGCUGAGGACUCUAACGGGACCGCCGGUGUCAAACCGGAGGAAGGUGGGGAUGACGUCAAGCCCUCAUGGCCUUUAUGCCCUGGGCUGCACACGUGCUACAAUGCCAACGACAGAGCGAAGCGAUACCGCAAGGUGGAGCAAAUCGCAAAAACGUUGGCCCAGUUCGGAUUGUGGUCUGCACUCGACCACAUGA
rnacentral:rRNA from 1 species